GAUGAACGCUGGCGGCGUGCCUAAUACAUGCAAGUCGAGCGAACGGACGAGAAGCUUGCUUCUCUGAUGUUAGCGGCGGACGGGUGAGUAACACGUGGAUAACCUACCUAUAAGACUGGGAUAACUUCGGGAAACCGGAGCUAAUACCGGAUAAUAUUUUGAACCGCAUGGUUCAAAAGUGAAAGACGGUCUUGCUGUCACUUAUAGAUGGAUCCGCGCUGCAUUAGCUAGUUGGUAAGGUAACGGCCUACCAAGGCAACGAUGCAUAGCCGACCUGAGAGGGUGAUCGGCCACACUGGAACUGAGGCACGGUCCAGACUCCUACGGGAGGCAGCAGUAGGGAAUCUUCCGCAAUGGGCGAAAGCCUGACGGAGCAACGCCGCGUGAGUGAUGAAGGUCUUCGGAUCGUAAAACUCUGUUAUUAGGGAAGAACAUAUGUGUAAGUAACUGUGCACAUCUUGACGGUACCUAAUCAGAAAGCCACGGCUAACUACGUG
rnacentral:rRNA from 1 species